rnacentral:sRNA from 1 species
CGUAUCUGCCAGCACAAGCUGGAUGUGUGAGUUCGUCCAUGUAUGUGGACGACCCGUCUGAGCUCAACGCCAAUAGAGCGAUCCUAAGCUUUACACCGUAUCAAGUUUGGCACGUACGUAUACGCAUAUUUUGCGGGGUAAGUGCAAUUCUUGCAUAUGCAGAUUCAGACGCACACGCAAGGCAAGGGUAAAUACGUCUUCUUAUGCGAAUUGGUUACACGUCUGAAUGAAACCUACUCCUCUCCCGGCCGGGACAACCCCCUCCCCCGCCUCCCCUCCCCGUUCUUUACAGAGCCAAGGUAAGCAAGUCGGAGAUUAGAUAUCUAACGUCCUCGAACACUCGAACUUCCUGACGGAGUGGCAGUUGUCAGUAACGCAAAUGCCCCUAUCCAGGGAGACUUCAGCCCGAUUCCCGCACGAAUCAAAUCUCCCAAAGCCGCGCCCCAGAGCCAUUCA